AAAAUAUUGUUAAUAAAAUACGUUUAUGCUAAUUUUAAGGGAUUGAUGUGAACUUUGUUUGGAUUAAAUUUGAUUGGAUUAAAUUUGAUUGAUAAUGUGAUUGACAAUUUAAAUUAAAAAUUUUAAGUAAAGUUAAUUAUUUUGGAAAAAAUAUUUAAUGCUAAUGGCAUUGGGUUGUAAAUAAGUCCAACUUUAGGAUUUAUUUGCUAAAAUGGUUGCAAAAAUGUAUAUAUAGAUACCUUUCGCCAAUUGUAUACAUUGUGUUUCUCAGGAUACGGAAAUAGGUCUCAAAAACAGCAGAAAGUGU
rnacentral:sRNA from 1 species